GAUUGCAUACAAUCUCUCCUCUCUUACACGGAGGCCGGUUCUUACUCACUAGCAAUCUAUACGCGUGCAUAUAGACUCGUAAGGACGAUGCUUACAGUGUCAGCUCUGCGCCACAAAACAAGACAUUGUCCAGUUGUUGCCUGGCUUCACAUUGACUAGACAACAUGCAACAGGCCUGUCAAUGAUGGCUAGCUUUAGCUAAUGUCAACUAACCAGCGGCUCGGUUGCCACCAACACGCCCAGGAACUGUUCUGCCCUAUCAGCACCAACAGCAACAACCACAGCAGCCAAAAUGACAGCAGAGACAUGCCAGAACAGCAAAGUAUGUUGCCUGUACAACAAUUUCUAACUAGCUGUGGAACUACAGCACUAGCCAGCAGUGAUAGUCUAACAUGGCUGACAGGAAAUGGCAGCUCAGAACAUUCCAGUGGAGCCGGCUCGGUUUUCCUAAGCUGGACAUGAGCAUGCCGAACAAAAAAGACACAGAUUUGACUACUGUUGAGGACAACUUGCCGUGCACUCCUAUCAAAUAAUGCACUAAGAACACAUGACAACAUGGCAGGGGUUCCUUGAGAUGAUUAAGAUGCAUUUGCAAAAGAAAAAUGGUUGGCGAAACCGGCGCACAAGGUCAAUCCCCGAUGUGUCAAACCACCACAGCGACAACUGUCACGCAACGUCAGCUAGCAAACUUGCUAACAUAACGGGAGGCCCUGGAGCCAGAGCUCUGUGUUGUCAUGGUGAGCACAGUAGUGAUUCCCAAUCCCACCCUUGCGGGAGCUGCAUCCAUGUUGAUCCAGAACGACACCCAAGACAGGAUGACAGUCAGCAGGCUCGUUGUUUCAGUGAUGGAUCCAAAGCUGUUGAUGAAGAUGUUACAGGUCACGUUGACAGGAGAACCUGACGGGAGGACACAUCUUAGUAACACUGCUUCCUUAAAUACCACUGAUGAUGUUUUCUAAAAGGAACACAUCAAAUAUUAAAGCUGAUGAAGAGCAGGGGAUUCCUGGACCACAACAUCUGUUUUUUCCCUUCAUAAUAUGCCAUGCCGUGUCCUGAUAAAGAUUUAUCCACGA